rnacentral:lncRNA from 1 species
GGCCGGGCUGGGCACAGCCCACAACCCUGGACGGAGGAGGCCUGGACGCAGGACCAUCGAGGACCACGGGGCCGGGCCUGCUGCUCUCUGGGCUGAGGAGGUUGCAGGCUCUUCUGGAAAAUGGCCCCAGCACUGCCCACCAUGACCACCCAGCUCAGGUCGGGUGCUCCAGACCAAGGUGACCGUGUGGCUGGACCAGAGCCAUGUGACUGGCCAGCGUGAGAGGUCCAGGGGCAUGAUGGUGGGGGGGGGAGCAGAGGAGAGAGUGCCCAGUGGAGGGUGGCACAGCCAGAGGCCCCAGAGCUGGGCCUUCUGCUGAGCACAGCCUGAGCCCGCUCUGCCCUACCUCUGACUGGCGGACUGCAGGCUCCCCCUGGGCAGGGGACACUGUGACUGAUGGCUUCCCCAGGCCUAGGCAGGCAGCCACCCUCCCGCCCGUCACUCCCUGGGCUCCUCCCCACCUCCUGCUGACCCCCGCUGCACCCCACGCUGUCCCACCUGCCCCCAGCCCACGGAGAUGACUGUCAGGAGGACGGUGCCUUCCUUCCGGGCCUCUCCUCCCCGCCUUGCUCUGCAGACCUGAGGCCAGGCCCCUCCCGGGCGGCCCUUCUUGGGUGGCUCCCUCGGGCUAGAGGGCCUUGUGGGUGCUGCUGCCCACCCACCUCUACCCCAGCCCGCCUUCCCCCGGGCUCAGCCUGGUGCCCCCACUGUGCUUGGGUGGGUGCUGCCCCUCUGCCCCUGGCUCCCCUUUCUCCCCCCACCCACCUCUCCUCCCCAGGGAUGCGUCUGUGUCCCCACUGGCCAGCCGGCCAAGGACCAAAGCCUCAGGAAGUGUCAGCCGGUGGCUGCUUUAAAGCCCUGUCACUUCUCCACCUGAGGAAACAGGCCCAGGGAGGCACAUGGCUUGGAUCUGGAAGGUUCCCCGAAGCCUGAUGUGUCAAGGACUUGGUCCCCGGUGUGGCCAGGUACUGAGGUGGGGACUUGGGGAAGUGAUCGGAUCCUGAGGGUCUGUCCCCAGCUCUGGACUCACCCCGAGGGCGUAGUGAUCUGAGUGGACUGCGGUGGGUGGCAUGAUGUGGGGAGGCCUGGCCGGGCCUGCUUCCCGGCUGCCAUGAGCUGACCUGCUUCCUCCCGGGCCCCUCUGCCAGGUGCUGAGCCUCACCUCAGGCCCGAGUUGUGCAGUUGACCGAGCGAGCACCAAAGUCUCUGGAACCCGGAGCCAGCACAGAGCGCUUCCUCCUUUCAGUUGUCGGGUGUUUGAGUCACAGCAGUGGACACCCGGUUGCUCUGGGUCACACCGUGAGGCGGAGGCCAGGGGAGACCUCUAGGUGGGGAGCCUGUGUCCAGCCCUCCCAUGGCCGCCAGGGCCCCAGGGGCAGAGCCCGUGGUGUUUUCCUCUCCGUCACCCAUUAAUAAUGGGAUUAAAGCAAGUUCCUGCCAAGGAGAGAGACUGGCUCUUAAGAAACAGCUCAAGCACAUUGUAAGAGUGAAAACCGUCGGCCAUCAGCACUUUUUACCUAGACCUGAAUUCAUGAAUGUUAACCAAAUAAUCACAGGCACGGAGCUCUAAUGCCUGCGAUUAUGCACAACCACCAUUAUGGCUGUAAUGACAAUUAGAUUCCGGUUCGGCGGUGGCUUCCAGGAGGGAGGAGUCCUCUGGUUUCCAGCGCUGUGACCUCGGAUUGCCGUUGCCAUGGCAGCGGGGCUGCGUGGGAAUCUGUGGACAGGAGACUGGUCUUGUGGGGAGGUGCAGGACAAAGGUCCCUCCUCAGCCCCGAGCCUUAGUCAGAGCAAGAGGCUGGGGUGGCAGAAAUGGCCAGUGCCCAGGGGCCCCUGCUGACUUCAUCCCUUACCAGGCAAUGGGCUGGCCCUGUGGGACACAGUGCUGUCACCUUUCAGUAAAUAUUAGUUGAGCACCUGCUAGGUACGGGGGAUAGAGCAGUGGCAGGUCCCUGGGCGUGCUGAGCCCACAGCUCAGGGGGGACAGAUAAGAAAGCAGACAGACAUAGGAGCCUGGUCAUCUCUGCCUGCAAAGGGCCAAGAAGGCACGGAAGCUGAAGUGACCGGGAGUGCCUGGAAGGGGUCCUUCUGCCCGCGUGGCCAGGGGAGGCCUAGCUGGGGAGGCCCGCAGGACAGCAAGAAGAGAAUCCCGCAAAGGCAGUGGUGACCCUUUCAGAGAAGACAGAGGGGUAGGCAGAGGAGACACGGGACACAGCUAAAAUCGAAUUUCUGAUAAAUCACCCAUAAUUCCUAGUGUGAGCCUGUGUCACGCAUCACCGAGACAGGCUGACCCUAACAGGUCGUUUGUUGCCAUCUGAAAUUCACAGGUACCUGGCCUCCUGGAUUCGUCUUUGCUACAUUCAGCCAGCCCGACAGAGAGCAGAGCUGCCGCCCACUCACCCCACGCCCUGCGCUGUCCUCCUGGAGGGUGGCUCACAGGUCCCCAGCCUGUUUCCCCUAAAAGCCCUGGGACUGCGUGAGGUCUGCAGGGCCCUGGGGCACUGGUCCUCACCCACCGUCCAGUGACUUCACUUCUCCUGCCUGCUUCUUCAUCCCCACCCUCCUGCACCACCCUUCAAGGCCUCGACCCGGCUUACUGUCCAGAGAAACUUCUGUGCACCUUCCGCUUGGUCCCAGCCUGUGCAGACGCUCGGCACUUCACUGUCUGAAAAUUAGCCAUGCAUAUUUAAAAUUUUUAAUUAAUUAAUUUAUGGUACUUGGGAUUUAACCCAGGGGGACUUUAGCCACUGAACUAUGUUUCCAGUUCUUUUGUUUUUAUUUCGAGACAGGGUCUUGCUAGGUUGCUGAAAACCUCCUAAGUUGCUGAGACUGAUCUUGAACUUGCAACCCUCCUGCCUCAGCUUCCUGAAUUGCUGGGGUUACAGAUGAGC